GGGGAAUAUUGCACAUGGGCGCAAGCCUGAUGCAGCCAUGCCGCGUGUGUGAAGAAGGCCUUCGGGUUGUAAAGCACUUUCAGUAAGGAGGAAAGGUUAAGUGUUAAUAGCACUUAGCUGUGACGUUACUUACAGAAGAAGCACCGGCUAACUCCGUGCCAGCAGCCGCGGUAAUACGGAGGGUGCGAGCGUUAAUCGGAAUUACUGGGCGUAAAGCGUACGCAGGCGGUUUGUUAAGCGAGAUGUGAAAGCCCCGGGCUCAACCUGGGAACUGCAUUUCGAACUGGCAAACUAGAGUGUGAUAGAGGGUGGUAGAAUUUCAGGUGUAGCGGUGAAAUGCGUAGAGAUCUGAAGGAAUACCGAUGGCGAAGGCAGCCACCUGGGUCAACACUGACGCUCAUGUACGAAAGCGUGGGGAGCAAACAGGAUUAGAUACCCUGGUAGUCCACGCCGUAAACGAUGUCUACUAGAAGCUCGGGUCUUCGGACUUGUUUUUCAAAGCUAACGCAUUAAGUAGACCGCCUGGGGAGUACG
rnacentral:rRNA from 1 species